GACGAACGCUGGCGGCGUGCUUAACACAUGCAAGUCGAACGGAAAGGCCCUGCUUUUGUUGGGUGCUCGAGUGGCGAACGGGUGAGUAACACGUGAGUAACCUGCCCUUGACUUUGGGAUAACUUCAGGAAACUGGGGCUAAUACCGGAUAGGAGCUCCUGCUGCAUGGUGGGGGUUGGAAAGUUUCGGCGGUUGGGGAUGGACUCGCGGCUUAUCAGCUUGUUGGUGGGGUAGUGGCUUACCAAGGCUUUGACGGGUAGCCGGCCUGAGAGGGUGACCGGCCACAUGGGGACUGAGAUACGGCCCAGACGCCUACGGGAGGCAGCAGUGGGGAAUAUUGCACAAUGGGCGGAAGCCUGAUGCAGCAACGCCGGGUGCGGGAUGACGGCCUUCGGGUUGUAAACCGCUUUCGCCGGUGACGAAGCGUGAGUGACGGUAAUGGGUAAAGAAGCAACGGCUAACUACGUG
rnacentral:rRNA from 1 species